GAAUAUUGGACAAUGGGCGAAAGCCUGAUCCAGCCAUGCCGCGUGGGUGAAGAAGGCCUUCGGGUUGUAAAGCCCUUUUGUUGGGGAAGAAAUCCUGCUGGCUAAUACCCGGCGGGGAUGACGGUACCCAAAGAAUAAGCACCGGCUAACCCCGUUCCAGCCGCCGCGGUAAUACGAAGGGUGCAAGCGUUGCUAGGAAUUACUGGGCGUAAAGCGUGCGUAGGUGGUGGCUUAAGUCCGUUGUGAGAGCCCUGGGCUCAACCUGGGAAUUGCAGUGGAUACUGGGUCACUAGAGUGUGGUAGAGGGUGGCGGAAUUCCCGGUGUAGCAGUGAAAUGCGUAGAGAUCGGGAGGAACACCCGUGGCGAAGGCGGCCACCUGGGCCAACACUGACACUGAGGCACGAAAGCGUGGGGAGCAAACAG
rnacentral:rRNA from 1 species